AUAUGGUUGAGUGGUAGAAUUUAUUCCCAUGAAUACAUGUAUUAUCGGAGGGUGAAUGAGUGAAAUGACAUACAUCAUACAUGUAUAUAUUUAAAUAAUUUGUGGAGCAACAAUAUAAUAAUAAUAUGAUAAAAGGCGUCGGUGAUGUGUGUGGUUUUAUAACAGAAACGAGGGAGAGAGGGAGAGAGAGAGAGAGAGAGAAGCAUCAGCAUUGAGAAGUCAUCUCAAGAGUGCUCAGAGAGCUAAUUAAGGUGGUGGUUCAUGUGUGAAAGAAGAGAUGAAGUUGUAGUUGGUGUGUGUGUGAGAGUGUGGUUUUCUAGAAAGCAGAGCAUGGAUAUUUGGAGGAAGAUGAUUAUUCUUCCUGUGAGGCGAGUAUGGCGAGCACUCUAUGCACGCCUCAACUCCACCAAAAACGGGGCAGGGCUGUUGAAGCUGGAGGAUGAUGUACAGACAUGUGAGUAUGAGGACAUACAAGUGAUGUGGGAAAUGCUAAGAAGAACAGAGAGUGAUGUGAGUAUACACAAGCGCAAGCAACAGCAACAGCAACAGCCUUUCUGGAGGGUCCUCAAACCGUAUUGAACCUUCUUCACAAUUAACCCAACUCCACUUCUUUUACAAUCUUUCAUGCUUUAACUAAUCAUAAUAAGACUCUUCUUCCUGAGUUCUGCAUCUUACAAUUACAGGAUCACAAAACCGUCUCUUGUAAGCCGUAACUCAAAAUGUACUCAUUAUUGUAAAUAUACCAAUCUUGUCUCAAAUCUCACUUUUUUCAUAGCAAUUAAGCAAAUAACAAGUUGUUGUUUUGUGCU